rnacentral:rRNA from 1 species
GACGAACGCUGGCGGCGUGCUUAACACAUGCAAGUCGAACGGAAAGGCCCUGCUUUUGUGGGGUGCUCGAGUGGCGAACGGGUGAGUAACACGUGAGUAACCUGCCCUUGACUUUGGGAUAACUUCAGGAAACUGGGGCUAAUACCGGAUAGGAGCUCCUGCUGCAUGGUGGGGGUUGGAAAGUUUCGGCGGUUGGGGAUGGACUCGCGGCUUAUCAGCUUGUUGGUGGGGUAGUGGCUUACCAAGGCUUUGACGGGUAGCCGGCCUGAGAGGGUGACCGGCCACAUUGGGACUGAGAUACGGCCCAGACGCAUACGGGAGGCAGCAGUGGGGAAUAUUGCACAAUGGGCGGAAGCCUGAUGCAGCAACGCCGCGUGCGGGAUGACGGCCUUCGGGUUGUAAACCGCUUUCGCCUGUGACGAAGCGUGAGUGACGGUAAUGGGGAAAGAAGCACCGGCUAACUACGU